AUUGAACGCUGGCGGAAUGCUUUACACAUGCAAGUCGAGCGGCAGCGCGGGGCAACCUGGCGGCGAGCGGCGAACGGGUGAGUAAUACAUCGGAACGUACCCAGUUGUGGGGGAUAGCCCGGCGAAAGCCGGAUUAAUACCGCAUACGACCUGAGGGUGAAAGGGGGGGAUCGCAAGACCUCUCGCAGUUGGAGCGGCCGAUGGCGGAUUAGCUAGUUGGUAGGGUAAAGGCCUACCAAGGCGACGAUCCGUAGCUGGUCUGAGAGGACGACCAGCCACACUGGAACUGAGACACGGUCCAGACUCCUACGGGAGGCAGCAGUAGGGAAUAUUGGGCAAUGGACGAAAGUCUGACCCAGCCACGCCGCGUGAAGGAUGACUGCCCUAUGGGUUGUAAACUUCUUUUGUAUGGGAAGAAAUUCCGAACGUGUUCGGAGCUGACGGUACCAUAAGAAUAAGCAUCGGCUAACUCCGUG
rnacentral:rRNA from 1 species